GGGAACGUACCUUUUGGUUCGGAACAACUGAGGGAAACUUCAGCUAAUACCGGAUAAGCCCUUACGGGGAAAGAUUUAUCGCCGAAAGAUCGGCCCGCGUCUGAUUAGCUAGUUGGUGAGGUAAUGGCUCACCAAGGCGACGAUCAGUAGCUGGUCUGAGAGGAUGAUCAGCCACAUUGGGACUGAGACACGGCCCAAACUCCUACGGGAGGCAGCAGUGGGGAAUAUUGGACAAUGGGCGCAAGCCUGAUCCAGCCAUGCCGCGUGAGUGAUGAAGGCCCUAGGGUUGUAAAGCUCUUUUGUGCGGGAAGAUAAUGACGGUACCGCAAGAAUAAGCCCCGGCUGACUUCGUGCCAGCAGCCGCGGUAAUACGAAGGGGGCUAGCGUUGCUCGGAAUCACUGGGCGUAAAGGGUGCGUAGGCGGGUCUUUAAGUCAGGGGUGAAAUCCUGGAGCUCAACUCCAGAACUGCCUUUGAUACUGAAGAUCUUGAGUUCGGGAGAGGUGAGUGGAACUGCGAGU
rnacentral:rRNA from 1 species